UACGAAGGGGGCUAGCGUUGCUCGGAAUCACUGGGCGUAAAGCGCACGUAGGCGGACUCUUAAGUCGGUGGUGAAAUCCUGGAGCUCAACUCCAGAACUGCCUUCGAUACUGGGAGUCUUCGAGUCCGGGGGAGGUGAGUGGAACUGCGAGUGUAGAGGUGAAAUUCGUAGAUAUUCGCAAGAACACCAGUGGCGAAGGCGGCUCACUGGCCCGGUACUGACGCUGAGGUGCGAAAGCGUGGGGAGCAAACAGG
rnacentral:rRNA from 1 species